rnacentral:rRNA from 1 species
CCCCCUGUGAGAAUGCCCUACAGCUCCCUGCCCGGGAGCAAGGAGCUGGUAUCAGGCACACACCUGUAAGCCCAUGACACCUUGCUUAGCCACACCCUCAAGGGAACUCAGCAGUGAUAAACAUUAAGCCAUAAGUGAAAACUUGACUUAGUUAAAGCUAAGAGGGCCGGUAAAACUCGUGCCAGCCACCGCGGCUAUACGAGAGGCCCGAGUUGAUACCAUUCGGCGUAAAGAGUGGUUAUGGAAAAUAAAAACUAAAGCCGCACACCUUCAAAGCUGUUAUACGCAUCCGAAGGCAAGAAGACCAACCACGAAGGUAGCUUUACAACCCCUGACCCCACGAAAGCUCUGGCACAAACUGGGAUUAGAUACCCCACUAUGCCUAGCCCUAAACCUUGGCAAUAUAUCACAUACCCUGCCCGCCUGGGAACUACGAGCAUCAGCUUAAAACCCAAAGGACUUGGCGGUGCUUUAGACCCCCCUAGAGGAGCCUGUUCUAGAACCGAUAACCCCCGUUCAACCUCACCCUUCCUUGUUUAUCCC